GUCUAAAUAAUAUAAUGGUAAGGACAAAAACCUUCUAAGUUUUUUAUGUAGGUUCAAUUCCUACUAGAUC
rnacentral:tRNA from 1 species